GAAAAUGUAAAAAAUUGAGGCAACAGGAUCCUCUCGACGAACCACAUCACCAUCUGCGAGUGAGGAUGUUCCAAGACAUGCCUGUCCAGGAGGUCGAUUCUCGACGCCAGGUCCCGCGUCAACUCCGGGCAGUGCUGAUCAUCACAGACAUGUUCGUAAACUAUCGAUCCAUGAAAGAGACGUACUGAAACGACGACGUACAGAAGGUGACAGAGCAAGCUACUACUUACAUUGAUGCCUGUCUCGAGCAGACUGCAGAGGACCAAGUUGCCAGGGGCGUGGUGCACCAGACCUUGGAGCUGUUGUUGGGGC
rnacentral:lncRNA from 1 species